rnacentral:lncRNA from 10 species
GGAGGAAUCACCUUUCCAGAGACUUGAUAACCGGGUGACUAAUGCCCACUUUUCUCUAUGCUGUGACCUGCCUGCUUCCUUGAGGAGGAAACUCGACUCCUUGUCCUCAAGCUCUUUCGGGGUAGCUCCUCUUGUCCCUUCGGCUCCCCUGUUGGGAAACUGGGGACUCCUCCUUCUAAACCAUCCCAUUCCUGUGUCCUCCACCUCAGGAACAGAGGAUUGUUCCCCAUCCUGCCACUGCUUCUCCAGCAUGGCUGCCCUCAAACGGGAUGCUAGCAGGUGCUAGAUGAACUAACUGCAAACUUCCUUUCUGUGGAGGAGAAGUGAAGGCCACAGGGCCAGGACCCUUUUUAAAAGCAUCUGAACUGACUCCACAGAUAGGGACUUAGACAUUGGAAGAGACUGUAUCACAGCAACAUCAAAGGGUAGACAGCCAGCAACUGUAGGCUACUUGCCCAAGAGAAUUGUUCUCAGCACCACCCCAUUCACAUGGCUGAUAUCUCAGAGGAUGACGCUUUCCAGGAAAGUGGGUAUUAAAGGCGCCGCAAUGUUCAAGGCCCUGACGUCAUCCCAGUGAACUCAAGGCCCGCUACGUCUCCAGCAUGCAUGUUGAGGCACCUCCUGGCUUCUCUUCUUGGUGGUAGAGGGUCUUUUUACCUCUUUCCCCUAGUCUGAUAUAUGGCCCCUGGGUCCCUCUUCCAGUAUAAAUAAACCUCCAUUUAUUCUCAACCUCUUUACAAGGAACAUUCUAUCUCCUACCUUAAAUGAAACAUGAACUUGAGCCACCCAGCUCCAUCGCUGUCCUCUGGACCAAAUCAUCACAGAACAUGUGAAAUAACAACAGAAGCUCAUCAUCUAGAUUAUACAAAUGGAACAUUAGCAAUGGGAACUGUCAACAUCAACUUAGUCUGCCAUGAUGCCAAGAGCUCCACCUCUGAACUCACAUAUCCGUACCAUAUGAGCUAACCAUGCUCUCUGCCUCUCCAGAUUUACUGAACGAUUUGACACCUGAGGUAUUAUGAUUCUAUUUGAAGAAGGGGGAGGGCAUCUCAAGAGAGAAAAUCAAACUUCUUUAGGCGCAGAGAUGAGAAAGUACAUCAUAAUUAUGAAAUGGCCUCCUUGUCUGGGGUAAUACCCGAGGUUCCUUGCCUCACAGCCAAGGAAAUCAAGGACGUGGAUACACACAGAGUGAGGAUAAGAGUGGAAGUUUAAUAGGUGAAAGAAAGAGGAUAGCUCUCUGCUGGAGAGAGGGUUCUUGGAGAAAUGGGCUGCCGGAUCUGCAGUGAAAUGGAGGCAGGGGGUUAGACGCCUGGUGAGGAGGUAGAGUCUGAUUUACAUGGAGCAGGAAAGACUGGCUGGACCAGGUGUGUCAUUAGCAUAGGGUGUGAAAAACUGAUUAGGACUAGAUGUGCCAUUUGCAUAGGGCAUGAAUUUCUGGUAGCCCCCACCCUAAUCUUUAAUUAUGCAGGUAGGUUCUCCGUCUGGCCUGCACCACGUUGCCCAUUCCCUUAUUGUACACAUGAUAACAAAAAAAGGAAGAUGGAGCCUCCAUGUUGGAUAUGUCUGGCCCCCAGGUAGCCCUUUCCUAUUGGCACAGCUGCCAGCCUUCCCCUGUGCAGGCUUCCGGCUUGCUUGUCUAUGUCUGCAGCUCAAUUUCUCAGGCUGCUCUUUGUUAGAAAAAAAGUAAUUUAUUGGGCUGCUUUUUGUUAAAAGGGAAGCUCUGCCAAAGACUCUUUUACUUUCACUAUCUGCCUAAAUAAUUUCUUUCUACCUCCUGUAUCAAUGAGAAAUGAUAAAGAUGAUUAGACCUACAUCCCUCAUACCUAGCACAUGAUUCAAACAUGUACUACAAGAGAUGCUGAGAAGUGAGGAUUGAAUUAAUUACAGAUCUAAUAUAUUUUUGAGUCAAUAUCUCUUUAGAAAAAUUAGUAAAUGCUAGAUAUUCUGCAGAACUGUCACAAGUUGAUCACAAAAUGUAAAAUGGCUUAAACAAAGUAAAGGUUUAUUUCUCUCCUACAUAAUGGUUACAAUAAAUGUUUUUGUUUGGGGGAGGUUCUCCUGAGUGUGGAGUACUGGGGAUACAGGUUCAUUCCAUCAUGUGUCUCCAUCAUCCUGUUCAGCCUCCUCUCCAUUUGCAUCCAACUGGCACAAGGGUAAGAAGGUGUGGAGGAGCCCAGAACUGGGACACGUGUGGAAUGGCUAGAACUCAGUCACAUGAGCACACCUCACUGCAAGGGAGUCUGGGAAAUGUAGUCUAAUUGAACGUCCAAGAAGAAGAGAACAACACGGAUUUGACUAAGCAGCUGAUCGUUGCCGCUGUAAUUUAAGUCUUAGAGUACAAGACGGAUCAAAGAGGAGGAAACCUGGAGUCAAGCAGUUGAGUUAGCAUUACAAUACUUCAGGGAGAAAACAAUGAUGGAGCUGAAGCACUGGGACAUUUAGUAGAAAGGCUGAAUUAUGUAAUAAUUAUUUUAAAGGAAGAAUCAACAAGAUUAGAUGUAGAGGUGAGAGAGAAACUGAGUCAUUAAGCUUGUGAGCAUCCCACAUAUGGGGAGUACAAGAAAUAUACCUGGAUUUGACUCAAAAAAUAUUAAGAGAAAACUUAUUGAUACAUACAAUAGAAAAUAUUUGGCUGGGCACGGUGGCUCACGCCUGUAAUCCCAGCACUUUGGGAGGCCGACACGGGCGGAUCACCUGAGGUCAGGAGUUUGAGACCAGCCUGGCCAAUGUGAUGAAACCUCCAUCUCUACUAAAAAUACAAACAAUAACAACAACAACAACAAAAAACUAGCCAGGCGUAGUGGCACAUGCCUGUAAUCCCAGCUACUCAGGAGGCUGAGGCAGGAGAAUCACUUGAACCUGGGAGGCGGAGGUUGCGGUGAGCCGAGAUCACACCACUGCACUCCAGCCUGGGCAAGAUGCAGUGAGACUCCAUCUCAAAAAAAAAAGAAAAAAAAAAAAAAAGAAAAUAUUCCAUAAUAGUCUAUCUGAAGGAGGUAAAAAUAAACAAGAUAUGGUUUUCCUUCCCCUAAAAUCUUGCCCUCAUCUUAGGUUGGAUGUGCAGUUUGGUCACGUUGGCAGUAUGAGUGAAGUGGAAAUACGGAGGGAAAAGUUCACACCUACAGAUGUAAACCUCACAGUUUACUAAGCAAUGGUUGAAGCCACUAAGCAGUUGCUUGAGUCACCCAAAGAAAUAAUUAAGAACAGGAAGAGAAGGCUGAGAGAAAGGCAUUGUGAUUGUAUAUACUUGAGGGCUUGCCAAAGAGAGAAAAAAAACCAACAACUCUUUUUUCCUUUCUUUUAAAGGAAAUGGUGAAAAUUUACUUUGAAAAUGAGACACCUGGGGAGAAAAUUCUCCAGACUGUUUUAGUAGGAUCUAAAUGCACUGGUCCCUGUGAUUUACAAUCUUCCGACACAGUGUAGAUACAUGUUACCUCCUGGGCUCUGGGAUCCCUCUGAGUUUUUUCAAUGGAAAAAUUCCUAAUUUCUGGGCUGGCCCUUUCACCAGCAGACCUUUUGCACUGGAAUAUUUUGUCAAAGACUUCAAAAUGCUGUCCUCUCCUUAUCAUGGGUAAUAAAAUUAGUGUGUGAUUUUGGCUUCUCCACUA